GAUGAAGAACGCAGCGAAAUGCGAUAAGUAGUGUGAAUUGCAGAAUUCAGUGAAUCAUCGAAUCUUUGAACGCACAUUGCGCCCCUUGGUAUUCCAUGGGGCAUGCCUGUUCGAGCGUCAUUUACACCCUCAAGCUCUGCUUGGUGUUGGGCGUCUGUCCCGCUGCUUUGCGCGGACUCGCCUCAAAGGUAUUGGCAGCGAUCAUGCCAGCUUCUCGCGCAGCACAUUGCGCUUCUUGAAGUUCUGGUAGAUCAGCGUCCAUUAAGCUUACCUUCAUGACUUGACCUCGGAUCAGGUAGGGAUACCCGCUGAACUUAAGCAUAUCAAUAAGCGGAGGA
rnacentral:misc_RNA from 1 species